AUUGAACGCUGGCGGCAGGCCUAACACAUGCAAGUCGAGCGGAGCGGCGGACGGGGGAGUAAUGCCUAGGAAUCUGCCUUGUAGUUGGGGAGAACGUCCGGAAACGGGCGCUAAUACCGCAUCCUCUCAGCUGUGCCUUGGUGGGUUUAGCUAGUUGGGGGGGUAAAGGCCUACCAGGGAGACGGACCGUAACUGGUCUGAGAGGAUGAUCAGUCACAUUGGAACUGGGACACGGUCCAGACUCCUACGGGGGGAAUCAGUGGGGAAUAUUGGACAAGGGGCGAAAGCUUGAUGCAGCCAUGCCGCGUGUGUGAAGCAGGUCUUCGGUUUGUAAAGUACUUUAAGUUGGGAGGCGUUACCAACAUAAUAAGCACCGGCUAACUUCGUGCCAGCAGCCGCGGUAAUUC
rnacentral:rRNA from 1 species